rnacentral:rRNA from 1 species
UACGUAGGAGGCGAGCGUUGUCCGGAAUUACUGGGCGUAAAGAGCGUGUAGGCGGUCUCUUUUGUCGGGGAUAAAAGCCCUCUGCUCAACGGAGGGAAGCUUCUCGAAACGGGGAGACUUAGUGGAGUCUGGCAGGGGGGUGCGGAAUGGCCGGUGGAGCGGUGAAAUGUGUUGAUAUCGGAAGGAACGCCGGUGGCGAAAGCGACACACUGGGUCUCAACUGACGCUGAGGCACGAAAGCCAGGGGAGCAAACGGG